CCUACGGGAGGCUGCAACUAGGAAUCUUGGACAAUGGGGGAAACCCUGAUCCAGCGACGCCGCGUGGGGGAUGAAGGUCGAAAGAUUGUAAACUCCUUUUAUAUGGGAACAAAUUGAGUGUACCAUAUGAAUAAGCCAUUGCUAACUUCGUGCCAGCAGCAGCGGUGAUACGGGGAUGGCAAGCGUUAUCCGGAAUUAUUGGGCGUAAAGAGAUGCGUAGGCGUUUUAUUAAGUCUUAUUUUAAAUACCAAAGCUCAACUUUGGAACUGGGUAGG
rnacentral:rRNA from 1 species